CCUACGGGAGGCAGCAGUGAGGAAUAUUGGUCAAUGGGCGGAAGCCUGAACCAGCCAAGUCGCGUGAGGGAAUAAGGCCCUACGGGUCGUAAACCUCUUUUGCCGGGGAGCAAGGGCGGGGACGUGUCCCGGCCCGGCGAGUACCCGGAGAAAACGCAUCGGCAAACUCCGUGCCAGCAGCCGCGGUAAUACGGAGGAUGCGAGCGUUAUCCGGAGUUAUUGGGUUUAAAGGGUGCGAAGGUGGAUUUUUAAGUAGACGGGAAAAUCGUGGGGCGAAACCCCAUCCAGCCGUUGAAACUGGGGAUCUAGAGUGUGUGAGAGGUAUGCGGAAUGCGUGGUGUAGCGGUGAAAUGCAGAGAUAUCACGAAGAACCCCGAUUGCGAAGGCAGCAUACCGGUGCACAACUGACGCUCAGGCACGAAAGCGUGGGUAUCGAACAGGAUUAGAUACCCUUGUAGUC
rnacentral:rRNA from 1 species